rnacentral:rRNA from 1 species
CUUAUGGGCGGCGAGCGGCGGACGGGUGAGUAAUGCCUGGGAAUAUGCCCUGAUGUGGGGGAUAACCAUUGGAAACGAUGGCUAAUACCGCAUAAUCUCCUUGUUCAUUACGAGCGGGAGCAAAGAGGGGGACCUUCGGGCCUCUCGCGUCAGGAUUAGCCCAGGUGAGAUUAGCUAGUUGGUGAGGUAAGAGCUCACCAAGGCGACGAUCUCUACCUGGUCUGAGAGGAUGAUCAGCCACACUGGAACUGAGACACGGUCCAGACUCCUACGGGAGGCAGCAGUGGGGAAUAUUGCACAAUGGGGGAAACCCUGAUGCAGCCAUGCCGGGUGUGUGAAGAAGGCCUUCGGGUUGUAAAGCACUUUCAGUUGUGAGGAAGGCAUUAUCGUUAAUAGCGGUAGUGUUUGACGUUAGCAACAGAAGAAGCACCGGGUAACUCCGUGCCAC